AGGAGUGUAGCUCAGUUGGAAGAGCAGCGGUCUCCAAAACCGCAGGUCGGGGGUUCGAGUCCCUCCACUCCUGCCA
rnacentral:tRNA from 1 species